UAAAGAGCUCGUAGGCGGUUUGUCGCGUCUGUCGUGAAAUCCCGAUGCUUAACGUCGGGCUUGCGGUGGGUACGGGCAGGCUGGAGUGCGGUAGGGGUGACUGGAAUUCCUGGUGUAGCGGUGGAAUGCGCAGAUAUCAGGAGGAACACCGAUGGCGAAGGCAGGUCACUGGGCCGUUACUGACGCUGAGGAGCGAGAGCAUGGGGAGCGAACAGGAUUAGAUACCCUGGUAGUCCAUGCCGUAAACGUUGGGCACUAGGUGUGGGGAUUGUUCCACGAUUCCUGUACCGUAGCUAACGCAUUAAGUGCCCCGCCUGGGGAGUACGGCCGCAAGGCUAAAACUCAAAGGAAUUGACGGGGGCCCGCACAAGCGGCGGAGCAUGCGGAUUAAUUCGAUGCAACGCGAAGAACCUUACCAAGGCUUGACAUACGCUAGAUCGCUCCAGAAAUGGGGUUUUCCUUUGGACUGGUGUACAGGUGGUGCAUGGUUGUCGUCAGCUCGUGUCGUGAGAUGUUGGGUUAAGUCCCGCAACGAGCGCAACCCUUGUUCUAUGUUGCCAGCACGUAAUGGUGGGGACUCAUGGGAGACUGCCGGGGUCAACUCGGAGGAAGGUGGGGACGAUGUCAAAUCAUCAUGCCCCUUAUGUCUUGGGCUUCACGCAUGCUACAAUGGCCGGUACAAUGGGUUGCGAUACUGUGAGGUGGAGCGAAUCCCUAAAAGCCGGUCUCAGUUCGGAUUGGGGUCUGCAACUCGACCCCAUGAAGUCGGAGUCGCUAGUAAUCGC
rnacentral:rRNA from 1 species